AUUGAACGCUGGCGGCAUGCCUUACACAUGCAAGUCGAACGGUAACAGGUUAAGCUGACGAGUGGCGAACGGGUGAGUAAUGUAUCGGAACGUGCCCAGUCGUGGGGGAUAACUGCUCGAAGGAGCAGCUAAUACCGCAUACGACCUGAGGGUGAAAGCGGGGGAUCGCAAGACCUCGCGCGAUUGGAGCGGCCGAUAUCAGAUUAGGUAGUUGGUGAGGUAAAGGCUCACCAAGCCGACGAUCUGUAGCUGGUCUGAGAGGACGACCAGCCACACUGGGACUGAGACACGGCCCAGACUCCUACGGGAGGCAGCAGUGGGGAAUUUUGGACAAUGGGCGCAAGCCUGAUCCAGCCAUGCCGCGUGCGGGAAGAAGGCCUUCGGGUUGUAAACCGCUUUUGUCAGGGAAGAAAAGGUUCUGGCUAAUACCUGGGACUCAUGACGGUACCUGAAGAAUAAGCACCGGCUAACUACGUG
rnacentral:rRNA from 1 species